rnacentral:ncRNA from 1 species
UUGCCCAUCGGGGCUGCGGAUACCUGAUCUUCUUAUU